rnacentral:misc_RNA from 1 species
UUCUUUUUCUCACAAGCUUUGAUUGUACAAAAACCCUGUGAAAGAGGAAAGGAAACAAGUGAACUCUGAAAAUAAUUCAAUUCUGUUGGAAAUUUUUAUGUGAUUGGAGAUUUAGAUCAUUCCCAGUUAAAUAAGCCCUCAAGGGAUUGUUUUUGUUGUUUUCUCGGGUAUCUCAUCAUUGACCUAUCUAUUAGGAAUUGCUCAGGAAGCAGGAACAAGAAGCCGCAGCAGAAGCAUGUCAUCCCUAAGGAAUGCUAUUCCCAAAAGGGCUCACAAGGAGCGAUCUCAACCGCACUCAAGGAAGAAAUAUGGACUCCUUGAGAAACACAAGGACUAUGUUGUCCGUGCAAAAGCUUUCCACAAGAAAGAGGAAACUUUACGGAGGCUCAAGGAGAAAGCUGCUUUUAGGAAUCCUGAUGAGUUUUACUUCAAGAUGAUUAAAACUAGAACUGUCCAUGGAGUUCAUAGACCAGAGAGUCAAGCAAACAAAUACACUCAUGAAGAGCUCAUGUUGAUGAAGACACAGGAUAUUGGGUAUGUUCUUCAGAAACUGCAAAGUGAAAAGAAGAAAAUUGAAAAACUGACAGCCAUAUUGCACUCUCUUGAUAUUCAGCCAUCAAACAGGCAUAUUUACUAUGCUGAAGACAGGGAGGAGGCUAGAGAGUUAAAGUCACGGUCUUCAGAAAAUAAAAUUGUAAUUGCUUCUGACGAUGUCCCCAAUGACAUUAAGAGGAAAACCACCAGUUCCUACAGAGAGCUAGAAGCCCGGAAGAACAGAGUAAAUCAGUUGGAGAAAGUAUAUGCAGAUAUGGCAUUGCAGAAGGAAUUACAGAAAAAGGGUCGAAAGCGCAAACUGCAUGAAGAUGAGAUCGUCUGUCCAACUUCCAAAUCAGUAUAUAAAUGGCGAUCAGAAAGAAAGCGGUGAAAGGAAAGCUUUAUUCUUGUGGGAGGUUAAACAAAGUUCUUAUUUUGGAUCACUUCGACAGUAUGAGCUCCACGUCAUUGUCAGCUGAAGGAAUUGAUGAACCACUUGAGCUGGUGGUGUGAAAUGACUGGCAUUCAAAUGUAACAUUUGUAUUUUAAAUUUUGACAUUUAAACUAUUUAAGAUGUGGUCUGGUAUCGAAAUUUGCCAUAUUUUUUACAUAUGAUUGCCACUAUUUUUAUUCAACCCUAAAUUGGCCAAAAGAGUUUUAAGUUGGUAUCUCAUUGUGGUUUAGGAGUUCAGAUUUCUUCGCUAUCUCCGACCUGUCUCAUAAUAAUCUUUGGUGUUUAUGGGGAAGUCUUUACCCCUUUCAGGCGGUAGAGUGUCAUGCUCUAAAUGACGACUGCUGUGGGCUGCAUUUGUAUUGGGCUUUUUAUCAUGGAAUUGUGAAAUCAAAUCCAAAUCAUAAUACCAAUAGUUGUAAUCUCUGUAUCUCAAAACAGCUGAAUUUUAAC